rnacentral:rRNA from 1 species
AUUGAACGCUGGCGGAAUGCUUUACACAUGCAAGUCGAACGGUAGAGGGGGCAACCCCUUGAGAGUGGCGAACGGGUGAGUAAUAUAUCGGAACGUGCCCAGUCGUGGGGAUAACGUAGCGAAAGUUACGCUAAUACCGCAUACGAUCUAAGGAUGAAAGCGGGGGAUCGCAAGACCUCGCGCGAUUGGAGCGGCCGAUAUCAGAUUAGGUAGUUGGUGAGGUAAAGGCUCACCAAGCCAACGAUCUGUAGCUGGUCUGAGAGGACGACCAGCCACACUGGAACUGAGACACGGUCCAGACUCCUACGGGAGGCAGCAGUGGGGAAUUUUGGACAAUGGACGCAAGUCUGAUCCAGCCAUUCCGCGUGCAGGAUGAAGGCCCUCGGGUUGUAAACUGCUUUGUACGGAACGAAAAGGUUUGUCUUAAUACGAUGAGCUCAUGACGGUACCGUAAGAAUAAG